rnacentral:rRNA from 1 species
GACGAACGCUGGCGGCGUGCUUAACACAUGCAAGUCGAACGGAAAGGCCCUGCUUUUGUGGGGUGCUCGAGUGGCGAACGGGUGAGUAACACGUGAGUAACCUGCCCUUGACUUUGGGAUAACUUCAGGAAACUGGGGCUAAUACCGGAUAGGAGCUCCUGCUGCAUGGUGGGGGUUGGAAAGUUUCGGCGGUUGGGGAUGGACUCGCGGCUUAUCAGCUUGUUGGUGGGGUAGUGGCUUACCAAGGCUUUGACGGGUAGCCGGCCUGAGAGGGUGACCGGGGACAUGGGGACUGAGAGAGGACCCAGACGCGAAGAGGGGACAACGGGGGAGAGGCGGACACAGGGGGGGGGAGGGUGAGAAGACAGGCCCGGGAGGGGAAAGAGGGCUAAGGGGGGGGAAACCGCUGUCACCUGAGACGGGGCGGGAGUGACGGUAAUGGGAGAAGAAGCACCGGCUAACUCCGUG